rnacentral:rRNA from 1 species
GACGAACGCUGGCGGCGUGCUUAACACAUGCAAGUCGAACGGAAAGGCCCUGCUUUUGUGGGUUGCUCGAUUGGCGAACGGGUGAGUAACACGUGAGUAACCUGCCCUUGACUUUGUGAUAACUUCAGGAAACUGGGGCGAAUACCGCGGAUGAGCUCCUGCUGCAUGUGGUUGGUUGGAGAGUUUCGGCUGUGGGGGAUGGACUCGCAGCUUAUGAGCUGGUUGGGCGGGUAGGUGCGUCCCAAGGCUUUGACGGGUAGCCGGCCUGAGAGGGUGACCGGGCACAUUGGUACUAAGAUAGGCAGCAGAAGGCAACGGGAGGCAGCAGUCGGGAAUCUUGCAGAGUGGCGGGAAGCGAGAUGCAGAAACGCCGCGUGCGGGAUGACCGCUUUCGGGUUGUAAACAGAUUUCGAAGGUGCCGAAGACUGAGUGACGGUAAUGGGUAAAGAAGCAACGGCUAACUACGUG